AGGGUGACUUAGCGGCGGACGGGUGAGUAACGCGUGGGCAACCUGCCUUACACAGGGGGAUAACAAUUAGAAAUGAUUGCUAAUACCGCAUAAGACCCCGGUACCGCAUGGUACAGGGGUAAAAACUGAGGUGGUGUAAGAUGGGCCCGCGUCUGAUUAGGUAGUUGGUGGGGUAGAAGCCUACCAAGCCGACGAUCAGUAGCCGACCUGAGAGGGCGACCGGCCACAUUGGGACUGAGACACGGCCCAAACUCCUACGGAAGGCAGCAG
rnacentral:rRNA from 1 species